rnacentral:lncRNA from 1 species
CACGCACCUGAGAUGCAAUGCCGCAAGAGAGAAAAAGGAGAGGAGGAAGACAAUGACGUUAUCAGAAAACAACAAUGCAAUGCCGCAAGAGAUAAAAAGAAGAGGUGUCGCAAGCGAGAAAAAGAAGAGGUGAAGCAAGAGAGAAAGGAGAAGAGGAAGACGUGAUAUCAGAAACUGAAUGCCGCGAAGAGUCUGCGAUUUAUUUAAAAUGAAAUGGGGCGUCGGUU